rnacentral:rRNA from 1 species
AUUAAAAACCAAUGCCCUUCGGGGCUCUCUGGUGAUUCAUAAUAACUUCUCGAAUCGCACGGCCUUGCGCCGGCGAUGGUUCAUUCAAAUUUCUGCCCUAUCAACUUUCGACGGCUGGGUCUUGGCCAGCCGUGGUGACAACGGGUAACGGAGGGUUAGGGCUCGACCCCGGAGAAGGAGCCUGAGAAACGGCUACUACAUCCAAGGAAGGCAGCAGGCGCGCAAAUUACCCAAUCCCGACACGGGGAGGUAGUGACAAUAAAUACUGAUACAGGGCUCUUUCGGGUCUUGUAAUUGGAAUGAGUACAAUUUAAAUCCCUUAACGAGGAACAAUUGGAGGGCAAGUCUGGUGCCAGCAGCCGCGGUAAUUCCAGCUCCAAUAGCGUAUAUUAAAGUUGUUGAGGUUAAAAAGCUCGUAGUUGAACCUUGGGCCUAGCCGGCCGGUCCGCCUCACCGCGUGCACUGGCUCGGCUGAGUCUUUCCUUCUGGAGAACGCAUGCCCUUCACUGGGUGUGCC